GUGGGGAAUCUUGCGCAAUGGGCGAAAGCCUGACGCAGCCAUGACGCGUGAAUGAUGAAGGUCUUAGGAUUGUAAAAUUCUUUCACCGGGGACGAUAAUGACGGUACCCGGAGAAGAAGCCCCGGCUAACUUCGUGCCAGCAGCCGCGGUAAUACGAAGGGGGCUAGCGUUGCUCGGAAUUACUGGGCGUAAAGGGCGCGUAGGCGGACAGUUUAGUCAGAGGUGAAAGCCCAGGGCUCAACCUUGGAAUUGCCUUUGAUACUGGCUGUCUUGAGUACGGGAGAGGUGAGUGGAACUCCGAGUGUAGAGGUGAAAUUCGUAGAUAUUCGGAAGAACACCAGUGGCGAAGGCGACUCACUGGCCCGUUACUGACGCUGAGGCGCGAAAGCGUGGGGAGCAAACAGGAUUAGAUACCCUUGUAGUCC
rnacentral:rRNA from 1 species